AUUGAACGCUGGCGGCAGGCUUAACACAUGCAAGUCGAACGAGUGGCGGACGGGUGAGUAAUGCUUGGGAAUCUAGCUUAUGGAGGGGGAUAACUACGGGAAACUGUAGCUAAUACCGCGUACCAUAGGAUGAGCCCAAGUGGGAUUAGGUAGUUGGUGAGGUAAAGGCUCACCAAGCCGACGAUCUCUAGCUGGUCUGAGAGGAUGACCAGCGGCACUGGGAAUGAGACACGGCCCAGACUCCUACGAGAGGCAGCAGUGGUGAAGAGUGCGUAAUGGGGGCAACCCUGACGCAGCCAUGCCGCGUGUAUGAAGAAGGCCUUCGGGUUGUAAAGUACUUUCAGGCGGGAGGCGUUACCGACAGAAGAAGCACCGGCUAACUCCGUGCCAGCAGCCGCUGUAAUUC
rnacentral:rRNA from 1 species